GUGAAGCCUGAACUCCAGUAGGGCCCAAGCCAGCCAGGAAGGAGGAGGCAGCCAGAGAGGCCUCCACUGUUCUCUGCAGCAGAAGACCCCCUGCUGCCAGAAGAGAAGACUUCUCAGAAGCAAAGUCUCUAGAACGUUCCAUAAAGCAAUGGUGCACAACUUUGGCCUUCAGUUGUUGAACUACAUCUCUCAUCAACCUCAGCCCUGCAAAAGAGCUAUCCCUGGUGCUACAUAGCUUGCUGAUGACUGUGCAACCUAACAUGUUGACAAUCUGACAGCUUCCUGCUUCAACCCGGCUACCCAGUAUCUGCACUUGCUAGCUAUUGCAUGUUGCCUCUGCCUCUCUGGUUGACUUCUGAAGUCCUACCUGGUACCUGCAGUUUUCUGCCUAAGCUGGAACAAUACACUGUAUAUGGAAUAAGGACAAGAGAUUGAGCAGAAAAAGAAAGAGAGCAUGAAGAGAGAGAAACGGAAAAACAGCAGAUUCUCAGGACAACAAAAGGUUUGCGCAAAAAUGGUAUCAUUUUAUGUGUCAACUUGUGUAAGUGAAAAUGGAAACAAGUGCUGAUUUCCAGCCAUGUGCUGUUUGAAAGUUCCACUUCAGUAUUUUAUCUCCACUGUUUUGACAAAUUUUCAGCAGAUUGUGUGCUCUCUCUCUCUCUCUCCCUCUCCUAAAUUCACAUGCGCUAUAUGCUUAAUUUAUGUGGUGACAAAAGGCACAUUAUUCCCAACAAUCUACACACUUGCUCGCUUCUUCUGCUUGUCACAUCUUCUUUGUGUUAAAAUAUGCUGUGCUGCCUGCCCUUAAAAAUUGCACUGGGAUCUAACUGUGGUGAAAUGAAAAAACACAGAGAGAGUCUAUUCUAGCCUUUGCCAGAUCAGAACCCAAAGGUGGCGAACAGAUGCAACUCAAACAGAGAAUGUAGUGAACAGAAUGCUAAGUUUAUUGCUUAAAAUUCAAAGGUAGCACUUCUAGAAUCCAAAUUGUAGUCAAAGGGUAGAUUUAUACAAUAUGCUUCCACUGCAAGGUGACUUCUCAGCAUCACCUCAUAGCAGAGAUCAAGGAAAAUACCAGUUUUGUAAAUAAUUAACAUAUGGUGAAUUCAGUGGCCUACACUGGUUCAGCAGACUGGAUUGAUUUUUUUUGUUUUUGUUUUUAAGUCUUGUCCAAUGAGUACUGGAGCACCAUCACAUUACAUGCAGAAUGACUGCAUGAAUCUCCUCAGCAAAGUGAUCACAUAGAAAUUUCCUUUUGAUAGGAAAUAUUGCUAUUUUAAUUCAUUCUAAAAUUCUUUUCUAUACUUGCAAGCAAAUUAUCAAUAGACAAGGACCUUCUAGCCUUGGCAGUUGAAACAGAAUCACUGCUAUUACCUGUGACCUCAAGCUGUGGCAGCUAUUCUUUUGCUAAUACUGCUACAUAUGCAUACACAAGCACAGUAUGAGUGGGCAGAGGGAGAGACGUGUAAUUGGAGCAGUACUGACAAGAACAGCAUCAGGUAGGGGCAUUUGUAAAUUGAAAGCCCUCUAGCAUGACUCCCAACCCUGACCCCAGCUCUGAUGUCUACAAUUACUGCUGUUCUGUGGCCAGCCACUGUACUGGAAUUUUACAAAAGAGGUAAUAUUUCCUUUAUCACCUUUUUGCAAAUAUGUUCCCUCAUAGCUUGUCUGCCUUGCUCCUCAAUUUGUCAUAUUACAUCUUUUUCACUUCUCCUUGAAGUAUUUGCACCACAGUUACAAAGUUGCCAUGUCAUUACAUCAGUCCUACCAUAUACCUUCUAAAUGUUCUGGAGCCUUCUCAGCUUCCAGUCCUGAAGCCAUUACGUGGCUUCACUUCUACCAUACACCUUCUAAAAAGGUACGAAAAGGACCAAACAGGGAAAUUUUCUUAUCUGCGUGUCGUUUUUGUGCUUGUAUUUUGUAGAUUUUGGACUUGGUUUGUUUUUAUAUUUUUAGCUUGGUACUUUUGUUGUCAUUUUGUUGUAUGUUUUUUGGCUUUUGUGAACCACCUUGUGAUUGUUUUUAAUGAAAGGCAGUAUAUAAAUGCAACAAUAAAUAAAUAAAACAAUAAAAAUAAAUAAAACUGAGAGAAAAACGUUGCUUUUAAAAAGAUACCUUGUUUGACAUUCACUGAACUAAUUACUGAACACUACAGACACAACAUGUUCAGCAGCAGUCAAGGAUAGAUGAAGGAACAUUCAUCAUUACACAGGGGAAUGCACAAUGUUAAACUGCUAUUAUCGCUGUAAAGGCCAAGCAGCCCAGGUUUGGUAGGGUGGGGGAAGAGAAGCAUCAUAGAUAACAAGUGGGGGUUAUUGCUGUUACCUCAAUGAAUCCCAAAUGGCAGCUUUUUAAAAGUAAAGGAAUAAACCACUCUCCUCUUCUUUACUAUCUGAACAUUGUCUUUGGAUUAAAUCAGAUUUGUCUAGAAUAAUAUCAACCCAACAAACAGAAGUACUUUUUCACACAAUGCAUAAUCCACUUGUGGAGUUCUCUGCCACAAGAUGUGGUGACAGCCAACAACCUGGAUGGCGUUAAGAGGGGUUUGUUUAACUUCAUGGAGGAGAGGUCUAUUAACAGCUACUAGUUGGAGAGCUAUAGACCACCUCCAGCCUCAAAGGCAGGAGGCCUCUGAGUACCAGUUGCAGGGGAGUAACAGCAGGAGAGAGAGAAUGCCCUCAUCUCCUGCCUGUAGGCUUCCAGUGGCAUCUGGUGGGCCACUGUGUGAAGCAGGAUGCUGGACUAGAUGGGCCUUGAGCCUGAUCCAACAGGGCUGAUCUUAUGUUCUAAACCCAUAUUUUAAACCAUUCUGGGAGAGUUACACCAGGGGUGACCUAUUCAUGAGCCACUCCCCAAUGAAAUUGGAGCAGCUCUUUGAGACUGAUCUGACCUUUGUGGGCUUUGCAAAUAUUAUUUAUUUAUUUAUUUAUUUGAUUUAUAUACCGCCCUUCCAAAAUGGCUCAGGGCGGUUUACAAUUAAAACAAGCCACUAAAACAAUAAAAACUAAAACAAAUUAAAAACAAUAUAGCAAUUAACAAUAUAAAAACAUUUUAAAAUAGGAUUAAACAGUUUACAGUAAUUAAAAGCCCCAAUAUCGGGUUAAAAUUUUAAAAACCCUGGAAAGCCAGGGCAAACAAAUACGUUUUAAGGGCUCUCCUGAAGGCUAACAGAGAAUUCAAAUUACGGAUUUCCACAGGGAGCGCAUUCCACAGCCCCGGAGCAGCCAUAGAGAAGGCCUGCCUCCGAGUCGCCACCAGACGAGCUGGUGGUAACUGGAGGCGGACCUCCUCAGAUGACCUUAAUGUGCGGUGGGGAUCACGCAGAAGAAGGCGCUCUCUAAGGUAACUUGGGCCUAAGCCAUUCAGGGCUUUAAAGGUAAUCACCAGCACUUUGUAUUUUGCCCGGAAACAUAUCGGCAGCCAGUGCAAUUGUUUCAAAAUAGGUGUAAUAUGGUCUCUCCGGGUUACCCCAGAGACCAAUCUGGCUGCCGCAUUCUGAACUAAUAGAAGUUUCCGAACUACGUAUAAAGGCAGCCCCACGUAGAGCGCAUUGCAAUAGUCAAGCCGGGAGGUUACCAGCUGGUGCACCACUGUUUUGAGGUCAUCCUCCUCAAGGAAUGGACGCAACUGUU